rnacentral:tRNA from 1 species
GAGUCUGUAACUCAGUGGUAGAGUGUACGCCUGAUAAGCGUAACGUCAGUAGUUCAAAUCUACUCAGACUCA